AUUGAACGCUGGCGGAAUGCUUAACACAUGCAAGUCGAGCGGGGUGUAGCAAUACACCUAGCGGCGGACGGGUGAGGAAUACAUAGGAAUCUGCCUCAGAGCGGGGGAUAGCCCGGGGAAACCCGGAUUAAUACCGCAUGAUGUCGCAAGACCAAAGUGGGGGACCGCAAGGCCCCACACUCUGAGAUGAGCCUAUGUCCGAUUAGCUAGUUGGCGGGGUAAUAGCCCACCAAGGCGACGAUCGGUAGCUGGUCUGAGAGGACGAUCAGCCACACCGGAACUGAGACACGGUCCGGACUCCUACGGGAGGCAGCAGUGGGGAAUAUUGGACAAUGGGCGCAAGCCUGAUCCAGCAAUUCCGCGUGGGUGAAGAAGGCCUCGG
rnacentral:rRNA from 1 species